GACGAACGCUGGCGGCGUGCUUAACACAUGCAAGUCGAACGGUGAACCUCUUCGGAGGGGCUCAGUGGCGAACGGGUGAGUAACACGUGGGCAACCUGCCCCCGGCUCUGGGAUAACUCCAAGAAAUUGGGGCUAAUACCGGAUGUUCACCGCUUCCCGCAUGGGUGGUGGUGGAAAGGGUUUCCGGCUGGGGAUGGGCCCGCGGCCUAUCAGCUGGUUGGUGGGGUAGUGGCCUACCAAGGCGACGACGGCUAGCCGGCCUGAGAGGGGGACCGGCCACACUGUAACUGAGACGCGGUCCAGAGGCCUACGGGAGGCAGCGGCGGGGAAGCGGCCGCGAGGGGCGAAAGCCUGGCGGACCGGCGCCGCGUGAGAGACGAAGGUCGUCGGAUCGUGAAACUGUGUGAUGAGGGAAGAACAAAUGUGGAAGUAACUAUGCCCGCCUUGACGGGACCUAAUCAGAAGACCACGGCUAACUACGUG
rnacentral:rRNA from 1 species